CGGAGGGUGCAAGCGUUAUCCGGAAUCAUUGGGUUUAAAGGGUCCGCAGGCGGACUUAUAAGUCAGUGGUGAAAGCCUACAGCUUAACUGUAGAACUGCCAUUGAUACUGUAAGUCUUGAAUUCGGUCGAAGUGGGCGGAAUAUGACAUGUAGCGGUGAAAUGCUUAGAUAUGUCAUAGAACACCGAUAGCGAAGGCAGCUCACUAGGCCUGGAUUGACGCUCAUGGACGAAAGCGUGGGGAGCAAACAGGAUUAGAUACCCUGGUAGUCCACGCCGUAAACUAUCAAUACUCGUUCUCGGCGAUAUACAGUCGGGGACUAAGCGAAAGUGAUAAGUAUUGCACCUGGGGAGUACGAUCGCAAGGUUG
rnacentral:rRNA from 1 species